AGUGUGAGCUUUGAAUCCCAAGUGCACGAGAGUGGUUGAGCUUGAAAUCACUUGGGAAGCUUGAAAACACUUGAUUUCUUCACUUGAAUGCACUCACUCCCUUGAACUUUUCUUUCUUACUUCUCUCUUGAAUGAUCUAGCUUUUGGGUUGGUGAAGAGUUGUUGAGAACCACUUAAGAGGUCCCUUUUUAUAGCCCAAAAAGCAAAUAUAGCCGUUAGAAACAAAAAGAGAAGGAUUUGAAAUUCAAACCAAACCUGAAAAGCUGUCAGUCGCGUCCCAGGCGCUCCGGGGACGUCUCCGCUACAACGAGGGACGUCUCGCCUACAGGAUUUUACUUUUUAUGUUGUCUGGGGUCGACUCGGCACUUUACGGGGACGUCUCGGCUUGUCUGCACUUUUUGAGUGGGGACAACUCCGCUGCCUUGGGGACGACUCCGCUUCUUUAUCUCCGAAAGACAUGUCCUCUGGAAUUCCCUGAGAGAGUCGACUCCG
rnacentral:lncRNA from 1 species